rnacentral:rRNA from 1 species
UGGGGAAUAUUGCACAAUGGAGGGAACUCUGAUGCAGCGACGCCGCGUGAACGAAGAAGGCUUUCGAGUCGUAGAGUUCUUUUAUAUGGGAAGAUAAUGACGGUACCAUAAGAAAAAGCCCCGGCUAACUACGUGCCAGCAGCCGCGGUAAUACGUAGGGGGCUAGCGUUGUCCGGAAUCACUGGGCGUAAAGGGUUCGCAGGCGGAAAUGCAAGUCAGGUGUAAAAGGCAGUAGCUUAACUACUGUAAGCAUUUGAAACUGCAUAUCUUGAGAAGAGUAGAGGUAAGUGGAAUUUUUAGUGUAGCGGUGAAAUGCGUAGAUAUUAAAAAGAAUACCGGUGGCGAAGGCGACUUACUGGGCUCAUUCUGACGCUGAGGAACGAAAGCGUGGGUAGCAAACAGG